rnacentral:rRNA from 1 species
CGUGUGCUUACAAGUAGUCAGAGCCCGUUAAUGGGUGAUGGCGUGCCUUUUGUAGAAUGAACCGGCGAGUUACGAUUUGAUGCAAGGUUAAGCAGUAAAUGUGGAGCCGUAGCGAAAGCGAGUCUGAAUAGGGCGUUUAGUAUUUGGUCGUAGACCCGAAACCAGGUGAUCUACCCUUGGUCAGGUUGAAGUUCAGGUAACACUGAAUGGAGGACCGAACCGACUUACGUUGAAAAGUGAGCGGAUGAACUGAGGGUAGCGGAGAAAUUCCAAUCGAACCUGGAGAUAGCUGGUUCUCUCCGAAAUAGCUUUAGGGCUAGCCUCAAGUGAUGAUUAUUGGAGGUAGAGCACUGUUUGGACGAGGGGCCCCUCUCGGGUUACCGAAUUCAGACAAACUCCGAAUGCCAAUUAAUUUAACUUGGGAGUCAGAACAUGGGUGAUAAGGUCCGUGUUCGAAAGGGAAACAGCCCAGACCACCAGCUAAGGUCCCAAAAUAUAUGUUAAGUGGAAAAGGAUGUGGCGUUGCCCAGACAACUAGGAUGUUGGCUUAGAAGCAGCCAUCAUUUAAAGAGUGCGUAAUAGCUCACUAGUCGAGUGACACUGCGCCGAAAAUGUACCGGGGCUAAACAUAUUACCGAAGCUGUGGAUUGUCCUUUGGACAAUGGUAGGAGAGCGUUCUAAGGGCGUUGAAGCAUGAUCGUAAGGACAUGUGGAGCGCUUAGAAGUGAGAAUGCCGGUGUGAGUAGCGAAAGACGGGUGAGAAUCCCGUCCACCGAUUGACUAAGGUUUCCAGAGGAAGGCUCGUCCGCUCUGGGUUAGUCGGGUCCUAAGCUGAGGCCGACAGGCGUAGGCGAUGGAUAACAGGUUGAUAUUCCUGU